GCAGGGGUGGUUCAGUGGUAGAAUUCUCAUCUUCUAUGCAGGAGACCCAGGUUCAAUUCCUGGCCAAUGCA
rnacentral:tRNA from 1 species